GGAGAGGUGGCUGAGUGGUUGAAAGCGCCGCACUCGAAAUGCGGUAGGUCUUAACGGGCCUCGGGGGUUCGAAUCCCUCCCUCUCCGCCA
rnacentral:tRNA from 1 species